AAUCGGCUAAAGCGUUCCUGGGAAACUUUGUUGGCAGUGUUGCACCACUCGUUACACUCACAAUCGCUGAUCGAUUCUUAAGAACGUUACAACUUCGCGGUCAUGUAGUAAUGGUGGUGUCCAGAGUCACGUGUGGUCAUCUGUUUGGCAACUGGGACGCAACAUAAUUUCUACAGCGUGCAACGCGCCAUAAACGCCGCGUCGCCGAAUUCUCGUGGGCUCGUUAAUGUUCAAGCCACGUCGAAGGUAACGGCAAAGGAAAGGAAAGGAAAGGAAAGAAGGCAACGGUAGAAAAGAAAAAGAAGGAAAAACGAAGAGUGGAUGUUUAAAAGUGAGGAAAAUGAAAAGUAGACGGACGAGAGACACGAUUCGUGAGAAACGGGGAACGAUGAAGGCUCGAUAAAGAGCGGGGAUGAAAUAAGAAACAUUUCGAGCGAAGGCGAGCAGACAAGACGUAACGUUUCGUUUGACGUUGAGGAUGAGGAGGGAAGAAAGGAAUGGGGGGAAGGGGUCUUCAUUACGUUCUGAAAGGCUGCCGUUUUAAGAGCAAACGAAUAGGAAUAGUUAACAAUGAGACAGAGGCGCCUGGGAACGGAAGCUGAAAAGGAAGAAAAUUUGCACUUGAUACCGGUCGGAAAGAAAAGGUCACAAAUUAGAACAUCCUACAUUUAAUUUAAUGACUUCUGAGAUCUCUUUUCUGGGCUAGAAAGUCGAAUCGAUUUUAAAAUUGCUUGUCGACUUGCGAUCGAUAUUAAAUUCAUGUGGGUGAACGAGUAUUUUUAUAUAGCUAUCUACAUUUUACAUAUAUACACAUAUUACAUAUUACAUAUUACAUAUAUACAUAUAUACACUACUGAAUGAACAUAUAUCGUUCUUUUAUUUUUAUCAAAACUUAAU